rnacentral:rRNA from 1 species
UACGUAGGGUGCGAGCGUUGUCCGGAAUUAUUGGGCGUAAAGAGCUCGUAGGCGGUUUGUUGCGUCUAUCGUGAAAACCUGGGGCUUAACCCCGGGCCUGCGGUGGAUACGGGCAGACUUGAGUUCGGUAGGGGAGACUGGAAUUCCUGGUGUAGCGGUGAAAUGCGUAGAUAUCGUGAGGAAGACCAGUGGCGAAGGCGGAUCUCUGGACAGCUCCUGACGCUGAGGCGCGAAGGCUAGGGGAGCAAACGGG